AUUGAACGCUGGCGGCAUGCCUUACACAUGCAAGUCGAACGGUAACAGGUCUUCGGAUGCUGACGAGUGGCGAACGGGUGAGUAAUACAUCGGAACGUGCCCGAUCGUGGGGGAUAACGAGGCGAAAGCUUUGCUAAUACCGCAUACGAUCUACGGAUGAAAGCGGGGGAUCUUCGGACCUCGCGCGGACGGAGCGGCCGAUGGCCGAUUAGGUAGUUGGUGGGAUAAAAGCUUACCAAGCCGACGAUCUGUAGCUGGUCUGAGAGGAUGAUCAGCCACACUGGGACUGAGACACGGCCCAGACUCCUACGGGAGGCAGCAGUGGGGAAUUUUGGACAAUGGGCGAAAGCCUGAUCCAGCCAUGCCGCGUGCAGGAUGAAGGCCUUCGGGUUGUAAACUGCUUUUGUACGGAACGAAAAGCCUCUUUCUAAUAAAGAGGGGUCAUGACGGUACCGUAAGAAUAAGCACCGGCUAACUACGUG
rnacentral:rRNA from 1 species